rnacentral:rRNA from 1 species
UGAGGAAUAUUGGUCAAUGGGCGGAAGCCUGAACCAGCCAAGUAGCGUGCAGGAAGACGGCCCUCCGGGUUGUAAACUGCUUUUAGUUGGGAAUAAAACGGGGCUCGUGAGCCCCCUUGCAUGUACCAUCAGAAAAAGGACCGGCUAAUUCCGUGCCAGCAGCCGCGGUAAUACGGAAGGUCCGGGCGUUAUCCGGAUUUAUUGGGUUUAAAGGGAGCGCAGGCGGACCUUUAAGUCAGCUGUGAAAUACGGCGGCUCAACCGUCGAACUGCAGUUGAUACUGGAGGUCUUGAGUGCACACAGGGAUGCUGGAAUUCAUGGUGUAGCGGUGAAAUGCUCAGAUAUCAUGAAGAACUCCGAUCGCGAAGGCAGGCAUCCGGGGUGCAACUGACGCUGAGGCUCGAAAGUGCGGGUAUCAAACA